CUAAGUGUGACGUUCCCUAUCCCCUCUCCCAGACUCUCUCUCGUUCUCGCUCUUCUUGCGAACGGCGGCCGGAAAUCGCCUCUCGGCGACGGCCAUGGCGGAGAAGCCUCCCAACACAAAACUCUGCAUGGCCUCACUCGUAUCUUUCCACUAAUUUCGAAUCCGCUCUCGUUCUCCCUCAAUUUCAUCUCGUUUUCCUUAAAUCUAACCCUAACAGAAAGACCCUAGGAAUCAUGAAUCUAAACUGAAGGCUUAUUGUAUCUGGAUCAAGAUAAUCAACGGAAGAUUCGUAUUCUACGUUCCUCGAGAAUCAACAUGAUAACAAGAACAAGUAGAGAAAUUGAUGAAUCGGAAGCAUAUUUGGAACUUACCGGUGGUGGAGACUCUUCAAUAUGCUCAAAGGGAGAAGAAAAUACCAGAGGCACCGACUCAAUUCCAGAUGCUGUUGAUGUGUUGAAAUCAUGGUGAAAGUGAUGAAAUUGGUGAUGACGAUGAGGAUUAGCGAUUAUGAGAGUUGCUGAAGAUUGAAGAAUCUGAAUCGGUGAUGACGAUUGAUGAACUUGCAGAAGAUCGAAGGCUCGGAAUAUGAAGUUGUGAAGAAGAUGAAUUGUGUGAGAGGAAGAGAGAGUGAUGAAAAUGAAGAAUGAAGAAGAUGAAGAUUGAGGUUAUUGAAGGAGAGUGAAGAUGGGAGAAGAUGAAUGAAGAAAAUGGUGGAGAGA